UAACCGACUCUCGGCAACGGAUAUCUCGGCUCUCGCAUCGAUGAAGAACGUAGCGAACUGCGAUACUUGGUGUGAAUUGCAGAAUCCCGUGAACCAUCGAGUCUUUGAACGCAAGUUGCGCCCGAAGCCAUUUGGUCGAGGGCACGUUUGCCUGGGUGUCA
rnacentral:rRNA from 5 species